AUGCCGAACCCUAGAGAGGUUGACAGAGCUCUUUUUGUUGAAAAUAUUAAAUUGAGAAAGUGUGGGGUUAGUGUCAAAUUUUCUCCUUGGUCUGAAGAUAUUGAUUCUGAGGGACUGUUAGAGAUUGCCUGGGUUAAGAUUGGAAAAAUUCCACCCAACAAAAGAUGCGAUAAAACUGUAGCUUAUGUGGGAGGGCUAGUUGGGAUUACCCUGGAAGUUGAUAUGUCAACUAUAAAUCGGCCAUCUUCUGUCAGAGCUAAAAUCGGCUGUAGAUCGAUAGCUCAACUUCCUGCUACCGCUGAAGGGGUGCUUGCAUGA
rnacentral:rRNA from 1 species